rnacentral:lncRNA from 1 species
UUUGAUGGUUGAACGUAAUAAGUGUGGUUCAUGGACGUAAUCCAUGAUCCUCAAGGAGAGGAUCAAUGGUGGUGUCCUUUUAGUGUGUUUUAGAAUGAUUUGCAUGGAAGCUCAGUCUUGGGGGUUAUCCUAAAAUUACAAUGGUUAAUCAUUCUCAAGUAGAGAGGAUUGAACCAUGUCGUGAAUAGUAGUAGGAGGUCUUAGUCUUGGAGGCUUCCAGUAUGCUUCAAGGCG